ensembl:snRNA U6 U6 spliceosomal RNA
GUGCUUGCUUUGGCAGCACAUAUACUAAAAUUGGAAUGAUACAGGGUAGAUUAGCAUGGCCUCUGUGCAAGGAUGACACCCAAAUUCAUGAAGCCUUCCAUAUUUAG